UCGUGGGAUUAACGUGCAGUGGAGUAUCGGGCAUGUUCCAAGGGAGAGGAAGACGGGUAGAGAAGGAAGAGAGACAGAUCUUUGAAGGAGAGAGAGAGAGCGAGACGGUAUUGAGUCAAACGUCCAGAAAACAGGAGAAUAAAACGAGCUGAGGAUCUACCUGAACAACGUCCCCCAUAUUGAACAGGCACCUGUCAUAUUUGACCACUCCUCACCAUCACCACCAUGUCUAAGGACCAGUGUGACUCCGUAGCAGUGAGCGUCGAGUCCCUCUUAACCGACGCAGUUAAGAUGCAGUCCCAGUGUCGGGAGCGUAGUGAGCAGUUAGCUGUGGCCGCCGCCGCACUGCGGGAGGAGUCGGCGUGCUUGAGAGAACAGUGUCAAGCCACCCAGCUGGAUAUGGCCCGGAUGAGAAGGCAGCUAGAAGAACUGCUGGAUACCAAAGCUCAGAUGGAGGCCAGUGAUCGAAUGCACCGCAAACUCAGCAGGACACUCUAAAUGGAAGAGAAGGAAGAGGGGAGAAAGAGGUAGAGAGAGAGGAGAAAGAGGUAGAGAGAGGAAAAGGGGGAGGAACCGGGAAAGAGGGUGAGAGAAGAGUGAAGGAGAGAGAGGAGAAAGGUAGAGAGAGAGAGAGAGAGAAAGAGGUAGAGAGAGAGAGAUGAACAGCUGGGUACCAAGGCUACGAUGGAGUCCCGGGGUGAACACACACUUGGAAAUAGGUCUGGCAGACUUUACAGUUAAAUAAAUAAUUAUUUUAACAACGUACACUUGUCUCUUGUUCUCUAA